GCCAGGUGUGGUGGCGGGCACCUGUAGUCCCAGCUACUUGGGAGGCUGAGGCAGGAGAAUCGCUUGAGCCCAGGAGGCAGAGGCUGCAGUGAGCCGAGAUCGUGCCACUGCACUAUAGCCUGGACAACAGAGCGAGACCCUGACUCAA
rnacentral:sRNA from 13 species